rnacentral:rRNA from 1 species
AUGGCGGCGCUCGGUGGCCAGCAGGAGGAAGAGCAAAGGAGGCGGAGGUCUCUGGUGCAGGCGCAUGGGGAGGUGAGGAGGAGGCGAGAUGGCGUGAUGCGGGACUCCGGCGAGAAGAUGUCGAGGAGUUGCGACCUCUGGGACUUCAACUCUGACGAGUGGAGCGACCUGUGGGGUCCUGGACGGCAGCGCGCUAGAGGCAGGUCAAGAGGGCAGUCUGGUGGCGUGGUCGACGCGAAGACGGACAUAUUCGGCGGCUAG